GGCUGGUCUGAGUGCAAUAGUGUUUACAACUAAUUGAUCACAACCAGUUAAAGAUUCCUUUGUUCCUUCUUCACUCCCACCAAUUCACUUGAUUAGCCUGAA
rnacentral:Y_RNA from 1 species